GAUCCAGCCUGGUAUGGAGGUUUGAGUGCUGGACUACAGCUCCGGAGACCAGGGUUCGAAUCCCUGCUUGCCCA